GAUGAACGCUGGCGGCGUGCCUAAUACAUGCAAGUCGAGCGAACGGACGAGAAGCUUGCUUCUCUGAUGUUAGCGGCGGACGGGUGAGUAACACGUGGAUAACCUACCUAUAAGACUGGGAUAACUUCGGGAAACCGGAGCUAAUACCGGAUAAUAUUUUGAACCGCAUGGUUCAAAAGUGAAAGACGGUCUUGCUGUCACUUAUAGAUGGAUCCGCGCUGCAUUAGCUAGUUGGUAAGGUAACGGCUUACCAAGGCAACGAUGCAUAGCCGACCUGAGAGGUUGAUCGCCCACACUGGAACUGAGACACGGUCCAGACUCCUACGGGAGGCAGCAGUAGGGAAUCUUCCGCAAUGGGCGAAAGCCUGACGGAGCAACGCCGCGUGAGUGAUGAAGGUCUUCGGAUCGUAAAACUCUGUUAUUAGGGAAGAACAUAUGUGUAAGUAACUGUGCACAUCUUGACGGUACCUAAUCAGAAAGCCACGGCUAACUACGUG
rnacentral:rRNA from 1 species